rnacentral:lncRNA from 1 species
CGCCUUCCUCCUCCUGGACCUCCAGCUUUUCUGCAACCUUGGACUGCUGCUCUGCAGGCUGAGGGAUGGUUCCAACUUUAGACAGAGUGAUGGUGCUGGUGCUGCGUAAGAAUGGGACUUUAGAGCUCACCUGUUGGUCGCUGGCUCUUUGCUCCUAAGUAUGCCACCAUCCUCCACCACAGAAAGCGACUUUUCUAUCUUCUCUCUCUGUCUUGACUGCAUCCUCAGCAACUCCUUUGCAAGGACUUGCGUUCUCAUUGAGGGUCUCUUGUUGAGACAAAAAGUGGGACAACACAAAAGUCAAGUCAACAGUGGCUUUGAUUGUCUAUGGAUACGGGCGCACUCACAUUUCCUGGUACAACCCUGCCUCGGAUUUCCUGAUCUUGCAAAAAUUUUUGAGCUAGCAAAGCUCAAAUACAGUAUAUUCUCUUUAGAGGUACAUAAAUUCAGCAGUUGAAAAUAAUUUGACCAGACAUAAAGGACAAGGCAGUCUGAUUAAAAACAUAAGCACUCAAUACAGGAACUUUAUGGAUCAAGUUACCUAGCUUUCCCCUUUGUUCAUGAAAUGAUAAACAUCAACGGUUAAACACGUAAUUUGACUUAUAUAUUGAUGGAUGACAAAAUACCACAUAAAACAGACCAAAGAACUGUAAUGAUUAGCUCACAAUCUCUAAAGAACUUCCCAGUUUGCAGAGGAACACACUGCAGAACCAUUGCUGGACGGGAGUAUGAUUACCCUGGAGGCACGCCAGGUCCUAUCUGGCGCUCAAAUGCUGAUUUUUACCCAUUACACAACCUGGAAACAACAUUCAGCUGCCGCCCAGCCCUUGCCCUCAACGCACCCACAACUCAGAGUUUCCUUGAGACCAGGGGCCAACUAACAUGUGAGCUAAUGAUAAUUUGAGGGCACAAAAGCACAACAGCAUUAAGUAAAAAGAAAACAAAUACCCACAAGUGAAAAUGCAAAACAUCAGAACUAGUUAUGUCAAAGGAUGAAGUGAGCUCAUACUGGAAUCAGCACACUGCUUCAGUUAACAGGAGAUUUGUUUGCUCCUCUCUUCUUGUAAACGCUCAAGACUUCCUCUACAAGGGCCUGCCAGAGGACCUGUCCAACUGAUGGGGAUGGGGGGGAAGUGAACAAGGAUGAGGUCACGAUUAUAAAGUCUACUUUUCUCCAAUUAUGUUGUAACACUCUGUUCUUCCUGAAGAAAAGGCUGAGAAUCUGGGUCUGCACACACGUGUUGCCACAGUCUAUAGCUCAUGUAUCUUAGUGAGACAAGGCAACAGAGUGGUAAUUAAAGGCGAGAUGGAAACAGGAUCUCUCUUUUUGUGAAGCUAAACAAAUGCAGAACAGCUUGUUUUUCUCCAACUCAGUAUAUUAAAAGCAAAACUUUCUUUUACUGACAGACAUAUUAGGAAGGUAAAUUGUCUACAUGAGCACCAUGGCUCAAAGUGUGCUAACAGUUCUGCCACAGAUCAACACAAAAUCAAUGUCAAAUCUACAUGGUAAAUGUCUCUAUAAAGUUUUGGUUAUAAAAACACAUUUUGUUAAGUGUCAAUUUUGGCUGUCUUGUCCAAACAGAUUAAUAAAAAAAACACCCUGGAUGGAAGGCGACAUCCAUCAUGAUGAUGAUGAGCAGAUGAAAGAGUUUGUUGUUUUUCUGGAAAUGAAUAGCAGAAGCUAAAAUGGAUUCGUUCCAUCUAAACAAAUGUGAGAAAAUUACCAUUAAAUUAUCCUCAAAAUGUGUGAUGUCAUGUAUAGGCUUGAAUGAAGUAAGUACUAAUUACCUCCAGACUGAUGGUGGAUUGGAGGCUCGUAACCGUGGUUCCCGGUAAGGGGUGGGGUUGCAGUAACUGAUAGUUUCACAUUUCUGAGGCAUUAGGCUCCUCCCUCCAGCACGAGCGAUGUCUCCCAACAGAAGGGCUCAGGACUCCAGCCUCACUGCAAAACAACAUUGAUGGCCAAAAUUAAGAAAAGUUUGUCUUUUCAACUUGUAUACACAUGUACAGAGUCUAUAUAUGGAGAGUUUUGAAACAUAAGACCCUUACAGUGUAGACUUACUACCAACUAUAGUAUUUUAUAGAAUAGUUAAUUUAUUGCAGAUAUGUUUUAUUAGUUUGUACAGUUGGGCAGUUCUACCAGCAGUAAAAGCAUCCAUUAGAACAGCUGAAUCUAUCUACCAGGAAACAUCUAAAGAUCCUUUCGUGAGCACUUGACUCACUGUUUACUUUUAAAACACUUACUGUUAACCCCUCUCAGUUCUCUUUCUGUGGUCUCACAAUGUCUCAUGUACAACUUUGUAGUAGCUCAUAUUUGGUACUUUACUAAUCAGUUCUGGAACCUUGCAGCACUUCUCAUGUUACAGUAGCCCUAGGGUUGCAAUGCUUUUGUUGUAGUAUUUAGAAUUUGCAAGUCACCUUUUUAACAUCUGCUAAAAACAGAUAGGUCAUAUAAAUGGCAAUCUGCAUACAUUGAUUUUUUCCCAUAAUCCCAGCUGAUUCAUUGUCCAUUUUAAUGCCGAUAUAGAAGAAAACAUUGAUAUUUUGAAAUCUGGCACAAACAUGUUUUCUUGCACCUGUAAUUUACUAAGUAGUUGAUG